rnacentral:rRNA from 1 species
UACAGAGGGGGCAAGCGUUGUUCGGAAUUACUGGGCGUAAAGGGCGCGUAGGCGGCCUGUUAAGUCGAACGUGAAAUCCCCGGGCUCAACCCGGGAACUGCGUCCGAUACUGGCAGGCUUGAAUUCGGGAGAGGGAUGCGGAAUUCCAGGUGUAGCGGUGAAAUGCGUAGAUAUCUGGAGGAAUACCGGUGGCGAAGGCGGCAUCCUGGACCGGCAUUGACGCUGAGGAGCGAAAGCCAGGGGAGCAAACGGG